rnacentral:rRNA from 1 species
GGAUUAGGCAUGCAAGUCGAGCGAGAAAGCAUUUCGGUGCGAGUAGAGCGGCGGAAGGGUGAGUAAUGCGUAGACAACCUACCCCGGGCUUCGGGAUAACAUCGGGAAACUGGUGCUAAUACCGGAUGGGGUCGCAGGGUCGCCUGGCCUUGCGAACAAAGGAGGCCUCUGGAACAAGCUACCGGCCUGGGAGGGGUCUACGUCCUAUUAGCUAGAUGGUGGGGUAACGGCCUACCAUGGCGGUGAUGGGUAGCCGGCCUUAGCGGGCGAUCGGCCACACUGGGACUGAGACACUGCCCAGACUCUUACGGGAGGCUGCAGUCGAGAAUCUUCCGCAAUGGGCGCAAGCCUGACGGAGCGACGCCGCGUGAAGGAUGAAGGCCCUCGGGUUGUAAACUUCUGUCACCGGUUAAGAAUGGCCGCGGCGUGAACAGCGCCACGGUUUGACGAAGGCCGGGGAGGAAGCCACGGCUAACUUCGUGCCAGCAGCCGCGGUAAGACGAAGGUGGCGAGCGUUGUUCGGAAUCACUGGGCAUAAAGCGCACGCAGGCGGCGCGAUAAGUCGGGUGUGAAAUCCCUCGGCCCAACCGAGGAACUGCGUCCGAUACUGUCGUGCUUGAGAUCGGGAGGGGUGCAUGGAAUUCCGGGUGGAGCGGUGAAAUGCGUUGAUAUCCGGAGGAACACCGGCGGCGAAAGCGAUGCACUGGUCCGAAUCUGACGCUCAUGUGCGAAAGCCAGGGUAGCAAACGGGAUUAGAUACCCCGGUAGUCCUGGCCGUAAACGAUGGGCACUAAGUAGAGGGGUUUU